AGCGGUAUCAUUAUCGACAC
rnacentral:rRNA from 1 species